rnacentral:rRNA from 1 species
UACGAAGGGUGCAAGCGUUAAUCGGAAUUACUGGGCGUAAAGCGCGCGUAGGUGGUUCGUUAAGUUGGAUGUGAAAGCCCCGGGCUCAACCUGGGAACUGCAUCCAAAACUGGCGAGCUAGAGGAUGGCAGAGGGUGGUGGAAUUUCCUGUGUAGCGGUGAACGGCGUAGAUAGAGGAAGGAAACCCAGUGGCGCAGGCGACCACCUGGGCUAAUACUGACACUGAGGUGCGAAAGCGUUGGGAGCAAACAGGAUUAGAUACCCCGGUAGUCC